rnacentral:rRNA from 1 species
UACGUAGGGUGCAAGCGUUAAUCGGAAUUACUGGGCGUAAAGCGUGCGCAGGUGGUUGUGCAAGACAGAUGUGAAAUCCCCGGGCUUAACCUGGGAAUUGCAUUUGUGACUGCACGGCUAGAGUGUGGUAGAGGGGGAUGGAAUUCCGCGUGUAGCAGUGAAAUGCGUAGAUAUGCGGAGGAACACCGAUGGCGAAGGCAGUCCCCUGGGCCUGCACUGACACUCAUGCACGAAAGCGUGGGGAGCAAACAGG